rnacentral:lncRNA from 1 species
AUGUCUCUCUCUCCCUGUAUCUUUCUCGCUCUGUAUCUCUCUCUCUCCCUGUAUCUCUCUCUCUGUAUCUCUCUCUCUCCCUGUAUCUUUCUCACUCUGUAUCUCUCUCUCUCUCUCCCUGUAUCUCUCUCUCUCUCUCUGUAUCUCUCUCUCUCCCUGUAUCUCUCUCUUGCUCUCUCUCUCUCUCUCCCUGUAUCUUUCUCACUCUGUAUUUCUCUCUCUCUCUCUGUAUCUCUCUCUCUCUCCCUGUAUCUUUCUCACUCUUGCUCUCUCUCUCUCCCUGUAUCUCUCUCUCUAUAUCUCUCUCUCUCUCCCUGUAUCUCUCUCCCUGUAUCUCUCUCUCUGUAUCUCUCUCUCUCCCUGUAUCUCUCUCUCUGUAUCUCUCUCUCUCUCCCUGUAUCUCUCUCUCUGUAUCUCUCUCUCUCCCUGUAUCUCUCUCUCUGUAUCUCUCUCUCUCUCCCUGUAUCUUUCUCGCUCUGUCUCUCUCUCUCUCCCUGUAUCUCUCUCUCUGUAUCUCUCUCUCUCCCUGUAUCUUUAUCACUCUGUAUCUCUCUCUCUCUCUGUAUCUUUCUUUGCUCUGUAUCUCUCUCUCUCUCCCUGUAUCUCUCUCUCUGUAUCUCUCUCUCUCCCUGUAUCUCUCUCUCUGUAUCUCUCUCUCUCUCCCUGUAUCUUUCUCGCUCUGUCUCUCUCUCUCUCCCUGUAUCUCUCUCUCUGUAUCUCUCUCUCUCCCUGUAUCUUUAUCACUCUGUAUCUCUCUCUCUCCCUGUAUCUCUCUCUCUGUAUCUCUCUCUCCCUGUAUCUCUCUCUCUGUAUCUCUCUCUCUCCCUGUAUCUUUAUCACUCUGUAUCUCUCUCUCUCUCUGUAUCUUUCUUUGCUCUGUAUCUCUCUCUCUCUCCCUGUAUCUCUCUCUCUGUAUCUCUCUCUCUCCCUGUAUCUCUCUCUCUGUAUCUCUCUCUCUCUCCCUGUAUCUUUCUCGCUCUGUCUCUCUCUCUCUGUCUGUGUCUCUCUCUGUAUCUCUCUCUCUCUCCCUGUAUCUUUCUCACUCUGUAUCUCUCUCUCUCCCUGUAUCUUUCUCACUCUGUAUUUCUCUCUCUCUCUCUCCCUGUAUCUUUCUCGCUCUGUCUCUCUCUCUCUGUCUCUCUCGCUCUGUCUCUCUCUCUCUGUCUCUCUCUCUCUGUCUCUCUCUCUCUGUCUCUCUCUCUCUGUCUCUCUCUCUCUGUCUGUGUCUCUCUCUGUCUCUCUCUCUGUAUCUCUCUCACUUCACUUUAG